GACGAACGCUGGCGGCGUGCCUAAUACAUGCAAGUCGAACGCACUGGGGACGGGUGAUUAACACCUGGGUAACCUCCCAUCAGAGGGGAUAACACUUGGAAACAGGUGCUAAACCGAUACUGGUUGAUGGACCCGCGGUGCAUUAGCUAGUUGGUGAGGUAACGGCUCACCAAGGCCACGAUGCAUAGCGGGCCUGAGAGGUGGAUCGGCCACACUGGGACUGAGACACGGCCCAGACUCCUCCGGGAGGAAGCAGUAGGGAAGCUUCGGCAAUGGAGGAAAGUCUGACGGAGCAACGCCGCGUGAGUGAAGAAGGUUUUCGGAUCGUAAAACUCUGUUGUUAGAGAAGCGGUAUCUAACCAGAAAGCCACGGCUAACUACGUGCCAGCAGCCGCGGUAAUUC
rnacentral:rRNA from 1 species